UGCAAAUUUGUUUUCCUUAGUCCCAGAAAGUCAAGUCCCUCCUUAUGGCUAGUUAAUUGUAAAAAAUGCAGCUCCAAGACCUUCACUUUUUUGUCUCUCCCCCGCCACCUCUGCUGCAUUUGCCAUCGCUUUGUAAUGCUGUGCUAAGCCCUGAGACCAAGAUAAUCAGAAGACUGAGAAACUAAGGCUUUCCAGCCAAGCCAAACACAGGAGGUCUGAUAAGAAGACCCCUGGACUCAUCAUUUACUGGCUCUUCUUCGGUUCUUCCUUGGCUGAAAAGAAAAGUGAGAAGAAAAGCCUUCAGAGGACGAGAGGAUGAGAGGUGGUGGGGAUUUGCAGAGCCAAGUGGCCACCAUGAUAAGCAAGGCUGACAUCCAUGUGCCCUGGUCUAUUGGAGGAGCAGGCAGUCUGGCCCAUGCAUGUUUACAGCCCCUGGGCCUUUGCGUCCCUUCCUGGCUUGGAACAAGUCCUUCUGUUCCCAGUUCCACUUCAUCCUCCAGGAUCCCACUUAGACGUCACUAUUUUUGAGAAGCUUAACUGUGAGGCUGAACUGGGUGCCUUCAACCAAACUCC
ensembl:lncRNA